rnacentral:misc_RNA from 1 species
CGGACUCUGCACUACGUCUGGAAAUGAAGUUUACGCCGUGUGAGAAGAAUCCAUUGUACCGCCACGGUAUCGCCGGUGAUCCUGAACAUCUAGGAGUGAGGAAUACGUACUUCCCUUUAAGAAAAGGAAGUACAGUGACAAUGUAUCAAGAUGCUCAUGUGCUUGAAGGGAUGUUGCCAGAGAUUGCAAUUGAUGACGGGAAGGUUUAUAAGCAGGAGAAGUGUUGGGAGGAUAUUUGCUAUGCCAUAUCAGAGGCUCACCAUAUGAUUUACAUUGUGG